rnacentral:rRNA from 1 species
UACAGAGGGUGCAAGCGUUGUUCGGAAUCAUUGGGCGUAAAGCGCACGUAGGCGGUUCGUUAUGUCGGAUGUGAAAGCCCUUGGCUUAACCGAGGAAGUGCAUCCGAAACUGGCGAGCUAGAGUACGAAAGAGGAUCGCGGAAUUCCCGGUGUAGAGGUGAAAUGCGUAGAUAUCGGAAGGAACACCAGUGGCGAAAGCGGCUUCCUGGUCCGACACCGACGUUCAGGCACGAAAGCGUGGGGAGCAAACAGG